GCAUAAGCCAGCUUGACUGCGAGCGUGACGGCGCGAGCAGGUGCGAAAGCAGGUCAUAGUGAUCCGGUGGUUCUGAAUGGAAGGGCCAUCGCUCAACGGAUAAAAGGUACUCCGGGGAUAACAGGCUGAUACCGCCCAAGAGUUCAUAUCGACGGCGGUGUUUGGCACCUCGAUGUCGGCUCAUCACAUCCUGGGGCUGAAGUAGGUCCCAAGGGUAUGGCUGUUCGCCAUUUAAAGUGGUACGCGAGCUGGGUUUAGAACGUCGUGAGACAGUUCGGUCCCUAUCUGCCGUGGGCGCUGGAGAACUGAGGGGGGCUGCUCCUAGUACGAGAGGACCGGAGUGGACGCAUCACUGGUGUUCGGGUUGUCAUGCCAAUGGCACUGCCCGGUAGCUAAAUGCGGAAGAGAUAAGUGCUGAAAGCAUCUAAGCACGAAACUUGCCCCGAGAUGAGUUCUCCCUGAGACUUAGAGUCUCCUGAAGGAACGUUGAAGACGACGACGUU
rnacentral:rRNA from 1 species